CCUACGGGAGGCAGCAGUGGGGAAUAUUGCGCAAUGGGCGAAAGCCUGACGCAGCGACGCCGCGUGAGGGAUGAAGGUCUUCGGAUCGUAAACCUCUGUCAGCAGGGAAAAACGGUCACUGUGCUAAUCAGCAGUGAAUUGACGGUACCUGCAAAGGAAGCACCGGCUAACUCCGUGCCAGCAGCCGCGGUAAUACGGAGGGGGCGAGCGUUAAUUGGAAUUACUGGGCGUAAAGCGCUCGUAGGCGGUAUGUCAAGUCAAGGGGGAAAUCCCCGCGCUCAACGUGGGAACUGCCUUUGAAACUGGCAAACUGGAGUGGGUGAGAGGAUAGUGGAAUUCCAGGUGUAGGAGUGAAAUCCGUAGAUAUCUGGAGGAACAUCAGUGGCGAAGGCGACUAUCUGGCACAUAACUGACGCUGAGGAGCGAAAGCGUGGGUAGCAAACAGGAUUAGAUACCCGAGUAGUC
rnacentral:rRNA from 1 species